rnacentral:rRNA from 1 species
AGAGUUUGAUCCUGGCUCAGAAUCAACGCUGGCGGCGCGCUUAACACAUGCAAGUCGCACGAGAAAGUGGAGCAAUCCAUGAGUAAAGUGGCGUACGGGUGAGUAACACGUGGAUCAUCUACCUUUUAGUGGGGAAUACCUCCGGGAAACUGGAGACAAUACCGCAUAAGCUCGUGAGAGGAAAGCCGAAAGGCACUGAAAGAGGAGUCCGCGGCUGAUUAGUUUGUUGGCGGGGUAACGGCCCACCAAGACGAAGAUCGGUAGCCGGCCUGAGAGGGCACACGGCCACACUGGCACUGAAACACGGGCCAGACUCCUACGGGAGGCAGCAGUGGGGAAUCUUGCACAAUGGGGGAAACCCUGAUGCAGCGACGCCGCGUGAGCGAUGAAGCCCUUCGGGGUGUAAAGCUCUUCCGACGGGAACGAUAAUGACGGUACCCGAAGAAGAAGCUGCGGCUAACUACGUGCCAGCAGCCGCGGUAAUACGUAGGCAGCAAGCGUUGUUCGGAAUUACUGGGCGUAAAGAGUGUGUAGGCGGUGUUCUAAGUCUGUUGUGAAAUCUCCCGGCUCAACUGGGAGGGUGUGGCGGAGACUGGAAUGCUAGAGUAUGGGAGAGGUAAGCGGAAUUCCUGGUGUAGCGGUGAAAUGCGUAGAUAUCAGGAGGAACACCUGUGGUGUAGACAGCUUACUGGACCAUGACUGACGCUGAGACACGAAAGCGUGGGUAGCAAACAGGAUUAGAUACCCUGGUAGUCCACGCCCUAAACGAUGCAUACUUGGUGUGAGCCAUUCAUUUGGUUCGUGCCGGAGCUAACGCGUUAAGUAUGCCGCCUGGGGAGUACGGUCGCAAGGCUGAAACUCAAAGGAAUUGACGG